GGAUGUGAUCACACUAGCACUAAUCCAAUAGAUCCUAUAAGAAAACCAUAGUAAAGCAUGCUUGGUGAGGAUAUUACUAGGAUAAGUGAGCUCGUAAUAAGUCCUCAUGUUGUACCUU
rnacentral:rRNA from 1 species